GGAGUCUGGACCGUGUCUCAGUUCCAGUCUGGAUGAUCAUCCUCUCAAACCAUCUAACGAUCGUCGACUUGGUGAGCCAUUACCUCACCAACUAUCUAAUCGUACACAGGCCGCUCCCAAACCGCCCGAAGGCUUUAAUCCGAAGAUCACAUGCGGUAUUAGCUAAUCUUUCGACUAGUUAUCCCUCAGUUUGGGGUGCGUUCCCAUGCGUUACUCAGCCGUCCGCCGCUCGUCAGCAACUAGCAAGCUAGUCCUGUUACCGCUCGACUUGCAUGUAUUAGGCAUGCCGCCAGCAUUCAUC
rnacentral:rRNA from 1 species